rnacentral:RNase_P_RNA from 1 species
UAGGAAAGUCAUAAAUAUAUAAAUUAUAUUAUAUAAUUUAUAUAAUAAUAAAUAAAUAAAUUAAUUAUUUAAUUAUAUAUUUUUUAUAUAUAAUAUAAAUAUAUUAAAUAAAAAUCAUAAAUUAUAAUAAAUAAUCUAAAUAAUAAAAAUAUCCCCCGUGGGACCAACCCUGUGAACAGCAGGGUUGGCGCCCGCGGGGAUUAUAUAAAUUAAUAUAAUAUUAAUAAAGUAAUUAAUAUAAAUAAAUAAUAUGAAAAUAAAACUUAAUAAAUAUAUAUAUAUAAUUCAUAUAUAUAUAUUAAUAAAAAUAAUAUAUAUAUAUAUAUAUGAAAUAGUUAUAUUAUUAUUAUACAGAAAUAUGCUUAA